rnacentral:lncRNA from 1 species
ACGGCUGAUUUAGUUCCCUUAUCACGGUUUCAUCGCUCCCGGCGAAACAAAAAUUAGCUGACUCAGGAAAGGAAAACCCCGAGGUGCCUCUUCGAAACGAAACCGGCAAAUCGCCCAGGCAUACCGACGAUCGACCGGCCGGCCGGAGGGUUAGCUAUGAACGUCGCUUUCCUGUGCUGCGCGACGCGGCUAGCGCGUGAAGCCAGGGACAGGGACAGGGUGCCGAUCGGCUUCCCGCUCACGGAGCCGUUGCGGACGCGAGCAGAGGGCGAGGCCUGGGUGGCGAUCGGCGUACCUCUCAUCGAGCCUCGUCCCCGGCGCAAGCCUAGCCCCUGGGAGACGCCUUUAAUCUGGGUAAGAUGAUGCAUGCUUGGUCGGGCUUUGGAUCUUUUUUUUUAGAACUUGCGCUCUAGAUUCUUGGUAAGAUGCGUGUUUAUAGGUUUUGAGAGAUCAUACGAGGAAAAGAUCCAUGCAAUGCUUACAAAAUUGCCCAUGUUUUCGUAAUGAAAAGAUUAAACAAUUGAGUUCUGUGCAGAAUAAAUAAAUACUCUUUAUGUAAAGAAAUACAAGAAUGAUUCGAUAUCUAACGGAAGGAGUAUAAAUGAAUUCGAGCAACAAGUUACAUACCUUGUACUAGUCUCCGUAGCAAAUCUAUUGUGUUUAUCAAGAAUUUGUUUUUGGACAUCUCAAAAUUUUCAAUCUCUAACUAUAUAAUAACCUCUCCCCUUGCAUUUGUUCUUUGCAGUUUUUUGCGAUCACCGGUGGAAUCGUAUUUACAGUUAUGAUCGACAUAAUGGAUGCGUCACUCAGUGCGAAAAUAGUUUCUAUAUGCAUAUUAUGGACUUUUUUCAUGACGGGAGCACUCUGGAUUUUGUAUGAACUCCGCCGUGUAUCAGAGGACAUAACAUAAUCCUAAUCGCUUCACUUUACGGCUGGUUUUCUUGGUUUGUGUAAUAACUAGUACAAAUGCCCGUGGGUUGCACCGGGCAAGAAAAAAAUAAAUACAUAACCUCUUUGUUAUACCAUUAUGCGGCAUUAAUUGUAAUAAAUAUGUAUAAUAAUGUUAAUUUUUUUUAAAAAUAUUAGAUACUGUUUACAUAAAAAUGGAUGAAUUUUUUUAUAAUAGUUAUAUUUUUUUAUUUAAUUUUUAAAUUUCUUGUAAAAGAUAAAUUGGUAAUCAUUUUUUUCAAAUGGAUCUUUUUAUCGUGGGCUAAUAAUGUUUUUUUUUUGAUGGGUAAUGGCAUUUGUGUGUAGAACAUAUUUCCAUAAAUAUUUUUUGAAUAAUAUUUUAUUAUUGUUUUUUGCACAACUUGCUUCAUGUGUCAUUAUGCAUCAUUUUUUAUAUGGAUUUUUAAUAAUUGUUGAUGAUAAGGUUAAAUGUUAAAUUGUUUUAAAAAGUUGAUGUAUGCAUAAAAAUUGUAAUACUUUCUAAGCAGUAUUGUUUUUGAAUAUUGAGCUUUUCUCGCUCGUCGGCUCGCUCCUCAACGUCAUGGCUUCGAUGCUGCUCCCGUGCAUCUGCUAUCUCAAAAUCUUCGGCACGGCGAGGUGUAGCAUGGCUUAGGUCGCGCUGAUCGUCAUGAUCAUCGUUCUUGGCUCCUUGGUUGCUGCAAGUGGAGGAGGAUGGUGGAUUGGUGUUUGGUGCGGGACAUCAAGGAAGGACAUACACAUCUUCCUAUCCAGUGCUAAGUAGGAGAGCACAAACAGUUGCAACCUCGAUUCUUGUGUGUGUGCUAUUGGCUGGAUCUUUUUUUAACACACCAGCACACUUUUGUAACAAAAGGCAGGAGGGGACUCUCUGCUUUGGGUGGAUGGUGCUCACAACUCACAGCUUAGUCGUGCACAGAGUAGUCAUUGUCCCAAACAGUUAGCAGCUUGCUUUGCUACUGAUAGUAGGCGAAGCACAGCAAACCAUCUAGAAACAAAAUUAUAUGAAUUUUAUCUACCGGGAGCUCAC